rnacentral:rRNA from 1 species
UACGUAGGGCGCAAGCGUUGUCCGGAAUCAUUGGGCGUAAAGCGCGCGUAGGCGGCCCUGUAAGUCCGCUGUGAAAGUCAAAGGCUCAACCUUUGAAAGCCGGUGGAUACUGCAGGGCUAGAGUCCGGAAGAGGCGAGUGGAAUUCCUGGUGUAGCGGUGGAAUGCGCAGAUAUCAGGAGGAACACCAAUAGCGAAGGCAGCUCGCUGGGACGGUACUGACGCUAAGGCGCGAAAGCGUGGGGAGCGAACAGG